rnacentral:rRNA from 1 species
CCUACGGGGGGCAGCAGUGGGGAAUAUUGGACAAUGGGGGCAACCCUGAUCCAGCCAUGCCGCGUGUGUGAAGAAGGCCCUCGGGUUGUAAAGCACUUUCAGUGAGGAAGAACGCCUGGUGGUGAAUACCCAUCAGGAAAGACAUCACUCACAGAAGAAGCACCGGCUAACUCCGUGCCAGCAGCCGCGGUAAUACGGAGGGUGCGAGCGUUAAUCGGAAUUACUGGGCGUAAAGCGCGCGUAGGUGGCUUGAUAAGCCGGUUGUGAAAGCCCCGGGCUCAACCUGGGAACGGCAUCCGGAACUGUCAAGCUAGAGUGCAGGAGAGGAAGGUAGAAUUCCCGGUGUAGCGGUGAAAUGCGUAGAGAUCGGGAGGAAUACCAGUGGCGAAGGCGGCCUUCUGGACUGACACUGACACUGAGGUGCGAAAGCGUGGGUAGCAAACAGGAUUAGAUACCCCAGUAGUC